GCAAAAUCGCUCGCCCUUUAAUUGGGGGCCUGUAUGAAUGGACACACGAAAAUAUAUCUGUCUCAUUUAAACCACUAAAAAUUAUCCUUUAGGUGAAGAGACCUAAAUAAAAUAGUUAGACAAAAAGACCCUGCAGAGCUUUACUAUAACCUUAUCUCCAUAACAUAAUACCAAAUAUAUUUAUGGUCUUUUAAGGUAAAGUUUGGUUGGGGCGACAAAGGACCAACAAAAACGUCCUCUACUAUAAAAAGACUUAAUACGUCAUAUAAUGACUCAUUAAACACUUUGUUUAACAAGAAUUAGCUACCUCAGGGAUAACAGGCUAAUAUCCCCUUGAGAGCCCAAAUUGACAGGGGAGCUUGGCACCUCGAUGUUGGCUUAGGGACCCCAACUUUGGCGCAGAAGCUAAGUUGGGUGGUUUGUUCAACCAAUAACCCCC
rnacentral:rRNA from 1 species